rnacentral:rRNA from 1 species
GACGAACGCUGGCGGCGUGCUUAACACAUGCAAGUCGAACGAUGAAGCUGGAGCUUGCUCUGGUGGAUUAGUGGCGAACGGGUGAGUAACACGUGAGUAACCUGCCCUGGACUCUGGGAUAACCCCGAGAAAUCGGAGCUAAUACCGGAUAGGACCUCGGAUCGCAUGAUCUGGGGUGGAAAGUUUUUCGGUCUGGGAUGGACUCGCGGCCUAUCAGCUUGUUGGUGAGGUAAUGGCUCACCAAGGCGUCGACGGGUAGCCGGCCUGAGAGGGUGACCGGCCACACUGGGACUGAGACACGGCCCAGACUCCUACGGGAGGCAGCAGUGGGGAAUAUUGGACAAUGGGCGGAAGCCUGAUCCAGCAACGCCGCGUGAGGGAUGACGGCCUUCGGGUUGUAAACCUCUUUCAGCACCGACGAAGCGAUCCUUUGGGGAGUGACGGUAGGUGCAGAAGAAGGACCGGCCAACUACGUGCCAGCAGCCGCCGUAAAAC